rnacentral:rRNA from 1 species
GUCGAACGGUAACAUAAAGAAGCUUGCUUCUUUGAUGACGAGUGCCGUACGGGUGAGUAAUGCUUGGGAAUCUAGCUUAUGGAGGGGGAUAACUACGGGAAACUGUAGCUAAUACCGCGUAAUAUCGAAAGAUUAAAGUGUGGGACCUUCGGGCCACAUGCCAUAGGAUGAGCCCAAGUGGGAUUAGGUAGUUGGUGAGGUAAAGGCUCACCAAGCCGACGAUCUCUAGCUGGUCUGAGAGAAUGACCAGCCACACUGGGACUGAGACACGGCCCAGACUCCUACGGGAGGCAGCAGUGGGGAAUAUUGCGCAAUGGGGGCAACCCUGACGCAGCCAUGCCGCGUGAAUGAAGAAGGCCUUCGGGUUGUAAAGUUCUUUCGGUAGCGAGGAAGGCAUUUAGUUUAAUAAACUAGGUGAUUGACGUUAACUACAGAAGAAGCACCGGCUAACUCCGUGCCAGCAGCCGCGGUAAUACGGAGGGUGCGAGCGUUAAUCGGAAUAACUGGGCGUAAAGGGCACGCAGGCGGUGACUUAAGUGAGGUGUGAAAGCCCCGGGCUUAACCUGGGAAUUGCAUUUCAUACUGGGUCGCUAGAGUACUUUAGGGAGGGGUAGAAUUCCACGUGUAGCGGUGAAAUGCGUAGAGAUGUGGAGGAAUACCGAAGGCGAAGGCAGCCCCUUGGGAAUGUACUGAC